AGAGUUUGAUCAUGGCUCAGGACGAACGCUGGCGGCGUGCUUAACACAUGCAAGUCGAGCGGAAAGGCCCUUCGGGGUACUCGAGCGGCGAACGGGUGAGUAACACGUGAGGAACCUGCCCCUGGCUCUGGGAUAGCUUCGGGAAACCGGAAUUAAUACCGGAUAUGACUGCGAUCGGCAUCGGUCGUGGUGGAAAGAUU
rnacentral:rRNA from 1 species